AUAAAAAUGACUCCUGUAAAAUGAGCUAUGCAAUAUAUUGGUGGAAAAAAAUCUGCUCAGCUCACCAAUAUGCUAACAUGAGACUGAUUAAUGCAGUGGUAGCCACAGUUUUUAUUAAAGGCUUAAGAAAAAUUCCAAUACCCUUUCAAGGAGUGUCGCUCCCCGUCUUCGUGGAGGAACGACACAGGACCCUGCGCUGUUCUUUUGUCUGCUCGGCCCUCCCCGGGUUUGCUGCUGGUUCUUCCCGGGUUGGCUACCGACCCUUCCACCUCCGUGGAAGGGCGGUUCCCCCUGCCACUUUCCCCACUUCCGCGGGGGAGCGGCACACCGCCGGCCGGCUCUCUCGGGGGCUGCACAGGUGUUCCUUCAGAUAGAUGUUCCCCUUAGAUGUUCCUGGUGCAUGUUGUCUCUCUCCUCCUUUAUAGUCCUCUUCCGCCAAUCCCAACUCUACUACCCACACGCCGAGUACGCUGCUCUCCUCCAAUCAGGAGCAGGUCCUACAGUUUAUUGGUUGAACUGGAGGCAGCUGUGUAGAAGCUGUUUCCUCCUCUCCCAGCGCCAUAUUGUGGGAGAGCAGAUGCAUAGAAUAAGUCUUAAUUCCAGUAACUUAGUCUAGUCCGAGUUGCUCCCAGUUGCUCCCCACAAAGGAGUCCUUUAAUUUAGCUUUUUAGUGGUUUAUCUAGAUAUAAUAACCCACACAUUUUAACUCUUGCUUUAUAACAUGGUCCCAAAAGAUUCAUAGGUGUGUGGUGCACUCUUACCAUUGUUUCCCAGAAUAGUCUCAUUGACAUGUUCUUGCCUUACCCAGAAACUCUGCUCCUCCUAAAUACAUUACUCUUAGCUAUAUUUUCUUGAAGAUCCAAAGAAAGGAUGAAAAUUAAACAAAUCAUACAAAAAAUAAAAAAGCCUUUCAAAUAAUUGUCUUAUGCAUAAACCUAGUUAGAAUGGAAAACAACAAUAAUAAUAAUUAGAAUGCUGACACUCUCACUAUCUGUUACUCUUUCAAAUAAAUAAAUAAAAAUUAAAAAUGACAUUGUGUGAAGAAUAAUGACCCCUCCCUCCCUUUCUGUAAAGAUUUAUUUUAUCUAUGUGAAAGGCAGAGUUACAGAGAGAGGUCUUCCAUCCACUGGUCCACUCCCUAAAUGGCUGUAAUGGCCAGGGCUGGGCAAGGUCAAAACCAGGAGCCAGGAGCUUCCUCUGUGUCUCCCAUGUGGGUGCAGGGGCCCAAGCACUUGAGCCAUCACUGCUACUUUCCAAAGCGUAUUAGCAGGGAGCUGGAUCAGAAAUAGAGCAGCUGGGCUCCAACCGGUGGCCAAAUGGGAUGCCAGCUUCGCAAAUGGUGGGUUUACCAACUACACCACAAUGCCAUCCCCUAAUGAUUCCUUCUUAAAAAAGAUUUAUUCAUAGACAGAAAGGGAGAGACAGAGAGAGAAAAAGAGAUAUCGAUUUUCCAUCUACUGGUUUACUCCCCAAAUGGCUUCAAUGGCCUGGGGUUGAUCAGGCAAAAGCCAGGAGUCCAGAGUUUUACCCAGGUCUCCCUCAUGGGUGCAGGGGUCCAAAUAUUUGGGCCAUUUUCUGCUGCUUUACCAGACUCAUUAGCAGGGAGCUCAAUCAGUUGUGGACACGAACAAGUGCCCUUACGGGAUGUUGGCAUCGCAGGGUGGUGUCUUAACCUACUAUGCCACAAUGCUGGGCCCAGAAUGAUGAUUCUUUUUUCUGUCAUUCCCAUAGACAAGAAAUAGAUAAAUCUCAAUAGGAGGAGGAGUAUAGGUUAGACUUCUUGAACAGCAAUUUUCUCAAGAGAUAAUGAAACAGGUUGUUAUGAGGAUUAAAUGGAUUUAUGCUUCUAAGACUCCAACUUAGCAAAAGCCCUGGCAUACGGAACAAGAUGAGGAAGUCUGUUCUCACUACUGCUUUUAAACAUCAUACUGGAAGCACUAGCCAGUGAAAUAAGACGUGAAAAAGAAAUCUAUAGGUGUGGUAGAGUUAACCAGCUUCUCUUCAAAUCACACAAUCAUACAAAUCACCUGCUGAGCUUUGAAAACUAUACACAUUGCCUGGCUCCAUCUGCAAUCUGCUGAGUCAGAAUCAUCAGGAGGGAAGGCUGGUCUGGAAUUCAGGAUUUGCUCGUCAGGCUCCUCAGAAAACACACUGUUGGUGGGAAUGCAAACUGGUCAAGCCACUAUGGAAGUCAGUCUGGAGAUUCCUCAGAAACCUGAAGAUAACCCUACCGUUCGACCCAGCCAUCCCACUCCUUGGAAUUUACCCAAAGGAAUUUAAAUUGGCAAACAAAAAAGAGGUCUGCACCCUAAUGUUUAUUGCAGCUCAAUUCACAAUAGCUAAGACCUGGAACCAACCUAAAUGCCCAUCAACGAUAGACUGGAUAAAGAAAUUAUGGGAUAUGUACUCUUUAGAAUACUAUACUGCAGUAAGAAACAACGAAAUCCAGUCAUUUGCAACAAAAUGGAGGAAUCUGGAACACAUCAUGCUGAGUGAAAUAAGCCAGUCCCAAAGGGACAAAUACUAUAUGUUCUCCGUGAUCGGUGACGACUGACUGAACACCAAGAGGGAAACCUGUUGGAGUGAGGUGGACACUAUGGGAAACGGUGGCUUGAUCAGCAUAGCCCUGACUGUUAAUGAACAACUUAAUACAUUAUCCCUCUUAGUAGUUUUUUUUAUCUGUUCUACUUAAUAUGACUGGUUUAGAUCUGUAAUUGAUGCACAGUUAUUCUUAAGUGUUGAAAAUUAACUGAAAUGUGAUCCCUGUUGAACAUGGUGGUGGGAAUGGGAGAGGGAAGAGAUGUAUAAUUUGGGACAUGCUCAGGCUGACUUGCCCCAAGUGGUGGAGUUGGAAGAAUACCAGGGGAUUCCAAUUCAAUCCCAUCGAGGUGGCAUGUACCAAUGCCAUCUCACUGUUCCAGGUGAUCAGUUUCAGUUCACAGUUGGUCCUGGUGAAGGGACUGGGAGUCAAAGGGAGCACAUAGACAAGUCUAGUACCUGCUAACGCUAACUGAUGGAGUAAAUAAAGGGGAGAGUGAUCCAACAUGGGAAGUGAGAUACUCAGCAGACUCAUAGAAUGGCAGAUGUCCUAAAUAGCACUCUGGCCUCAGAAUCAGCCCUAAAGGCAUUCGGAGCUGGCUGAAAAGCUCAUGAGAGUAUUUCAGGCAUGGAAAGCCAAGACACUCUGGCAAAAGAUCUCUGCGAGUGAGAUCCCAGUGGAAAGAACAGGUCUUCAAAGAAGGAGGUACCUUUCUCUGAAGGGAGGAGAGAACCUCCACUUUGACUAUGACCUUGUCUAAACAAGAUAAGAGUCGGAGAACUCAUGGGGCUUCCAUAGCCUUGGAAACUCAUGACUGGAGCAGAGGGAGAUUACUGAUGCCAUAGACAGGAGUGUCAAUUGGUAAAGUCAACAACAGGAGUCACUGUGCACUUACUCCUCAUGUAGGAUCUCUAUCCUUAAUGUGCUGUACAUUGAGAUUUAAUGCUAUAACGAGUACUCAAACAAUAUAUUUCACUUUGUGUUUCUAUGGGGUGCAAACUGUUGAAAUCCUUACUUAAUGCAUACUAAACUGAUCCUCUGUAAAAAAAAAAAAAAAAAAAGAAAUUAUCAACUCCCAACUUGACUCUCACUGGGAUUAAACAUGACAAUAGGUCUGAUCUGAUUUCAUCAUCAUUUAAAAAAAAAUCAUCUAUUAUUUUUUCACUUUAUGUUUCUGUGUGGGAGCAAACUGUUGAAAUCCAUACUUAAUGUAUACUAAGCUGAUCUUCUGUAUAUUAAGAUAAUCAAAAAUGAAUCUUGAUGUGAAUGGAAGGGGAGAGGGAGUGGGAAAGGGGAGGGUUGUGGGUGGGAGGGACGGUAUUGGGGGGAAGCCAUUGUAAUCC